CUGAACGCCUCUAAGUCAGAAUCCGUGCUAGAAACGAUGAUGUUGGUGUCGCACAUUAGACUUGUGUUUAAAUAGAGCUUUGCUCGUGAACCAAAUAUGGUGGGCUGGGUUGUCUUUGCGGAAACGCUUAGGCGACUUGUCUACGAAUUGUAAUCAUAAUAUGGGCGGCGGUGAAUCCUUUGCAGACGACUUGAAUGGGAACGGGGUACUGUAAGUGGUAGAGUAGCCUUGUUGCUACGAUCCACUGAGGUUAAGCCCUUGUUCUAAAGAUUUGUUCA
rnacentral:rRNA from 1 species